UCCAUUCGCAAAUGGGCAUAAAUGGAAUUUUGGUGUUCGUCAGGUAGUUGAGCCCAACUUGGCAAUACAGCCCACUAGAAUUAGGGUUUCGCUAGUAUAUAGUUACCUGCGAAGCAUGAAACGUAGCACUCUCUUAGUCUUUUUCCGCAGCCAGGUUUUCGAAUCAAAGAAAGAAGGGAACACAAAGCUUGGUUGCCUUGCCGCCAUGAGAGCCAAGUGGAAGAAGAAGCGUAUGAGGAGGUUGAAGAGGAAGCGCCGAAAGAUGAGGCAGAGAUCCAAGUAGUUUUCUAUUUUAUCAACAAUAGAGGGCUGUCGUUCGCUUUAGUGUUUGUCCCUGUUUAUGUUUGUUUUAUUAUCACUACUGAUUUCAGAUAAGUAGAGCAUCGCUGUUUUAAAUGUCAUGGUUUUGUUAGACCUUUUAAACUGAAUGGAAAUGGGAUUUUGUUUUGCUUA